rnacentral:rRNA from 1 species
UACGGAGGGUGCAAGCGUUAUCCGGAUUCACUGGGUUUAAAGGGUGCGUAGGUGGGUUGGUAAGUCAGUGGUGAAAUCCCCGAGCUUAACUUGGGAACUGCCAUUGAUACUAUUAAUCUUGAGUACCGUGGAGGUUAGCGGAAUAUGUCAUGUAGCGGUGAAAUGCUUAGAUAUGACAUAGAACACCAAUUGCGAAGGCAGCUGGCUACACGAAUAUUGACACUGAUGCACGAAAGCGUGGGGAUCAAACAGG